rnacentral:rRNA from 1 species
AACGAACGCUGGCGGCAUGCCUAACACAUGCAAGUCGAACGAGAUCUUCGGGUCUAGUGGCGCACGGGUGCGUAACGCGUGGGAAUCUGCCCUUUGGUUCGGAAUAACAGUUGGAAACGACUGCUAAUACCGGAUGAUGACGAAAGUCCAAAGAUUUAUCGCCAGAGGAUGGGCCCGCGUAGGAUUAGCUAGUUGGUGUGGUAAAGGCGCACCAAGGCGACGAUCCUUAGCUGGUCUGAGAGGAUGAUCAGCCACACUGGGACUGAGACACGGCCCAGACGCCUACGGGAGGCAGCAGUGGGGAAUAUUGGAAAAUGGGCGAAAGCCUGAUCCAGCAAUGCCGCGUGAGUGAUGAAGGCCCUAGGGUUGUAAAGCUCUUUUACCCGGGAUGAUAAUGACAGUACCGGGAGAAUAAGCCCCGGCUAACUCCGUGCCAGCAGCCGCCGUAA